rnacentral:rRNA from 1 species
CGCAUCUGUGCAUGCAGCAUAUCAAUAAGCGGAGGAAAAGAAACUAACAAGGAUUCCCUCAGUAACGGCGAGUGAAGCGGGAAGAGCUCAAAUUUGAAAUCUUGAAAGGUCACCUUUCACGAAUUGUAGUUUAAAGAAGUGUUUUCUGUUACGAUCGUAAUAUAAGUUCUUUGGAAUAGGACAUCACAGAGGGUGAGAAUCCCGUCUAUGAUUGCGAUUUGUAGCUUUGUGAUACACUUUCAAAGAGUCGGGUUGUUUGGGAAUGCAGCCCAAAACGGGAGGUAAAUUUCUUCUAAGGCUAAAUAUUGGCGAGAGACCGAUAGCGAACAAGUACCGUGAGGGAAAGAUGAAAAGAACUUUGAAAAGAGAGUUAAGUAGUACGUGAAAUUGUCAAAAGGGAAGCGUUUAACACCAGUGUUGUUUUCUGAAAAUCAACCUCUGUUAGCUUUAUGCAUGUUUGCUUAGACCUAAUCAGCUAUCUUGCAUGUUCUAUUGUUUGCAGUGGUGCACUUUUCAGUUUACAGGUCAACAUCAGUUUUUUUUACCGUAAAAAAGUUAAAGAAAGGUAGCUCAUGGCUCCGGUCGUGAGUGUUAUAGUCUUUUUCCUAUGCGGUAGGAGAGACUGAGGUCUGCAGUGUAGGCUAUUUGGCUAGAUACUCAGGUGCUAUGUGAUACCACUUCAUAAACAACUUGUUGAUUAUGUUAUGUCUAUUGCAUACUCGCUUGUACUAUCAUACCUACGCUUAGGAUGUUGACGAUCAGCUGAGCGCG